rnacentral:rRNA from 2 species
AAGCCAGUUAUCCCUGUGGUAAC